rnacentral:lncRNA from 1 species
CAGACAUCUGCUCCAGCCUAUUCUUAGAUUGCUGCUCCAAGACAUAGGAAAUGAGAGAGUAGCUCUGGGCUAUAAUUGAAGGGCUGGUCUUACAGAUGAUAAAAGCCCAAGGCCUGCCCAAACACAGCUUUCUCAGGAAUUGCCAGAACCCAGAGGCUUACAUCUUGAAAUCUCUCCAGACUGUUCCCCAAGAAUCUUUUUCUGCACCCCUUACUUGUCUCUUAUGCUGCCUCUUCAGAAAACAGAAAUCAGAAAAGCAAUCAUAAAUCAUGAAGUGUCACAAAAUGUCAGAACUAGAAAAAGCCUAAGAAAUCAUCUGCUUCAAUGGCUUCCAUUUGUAAAUGAGGAAACUGAGACCUAAGGAGAGCAAGUGUUAGACAUAAAUGAUUCCAGGAGGUGACAGAGCUGAGCUUCAAACCCAAGUCUUUUAACUCCAGUGCUUUCUCUAUUCCAUUGUGAUACCUCCCAAGGCAUGUUCACUUUAAAGAGUAUAUUCCCCCU